rnacentral:lncRNA from 1 species
GUGAGGAGACUAAAGUCUUAUGUAACUUUCUCAAGGCCCUGCAGUUAAUAGGUGGGUGAGCUGGGAUUUGAACUGAAGAAGGCUGACUCUGAGGUCCUUGUCCUUCACUGUCUUCACUGUUCUGCUCCAAACAGUUGAAUUCGAAAUGUAGUGGAAAAGUGAUAAAAGCCUGCUAAAUUCUGGAGAGAGUACCAUUGCACGAAAUUUGAAAUGUGCCGAAAACAACAAACGAAUCUGCAGAAAUGGUAGCCAUUGCUAAUCCCUAUUUUAUGUUCUUAACUGCUUUAUUGAUGUAUUAUUGACAUUAAAAAGUCUGUACAUAUUCAAUGUAUACAGCCUGAUAAGUUUGGAGAUAAAUGUAUACCCAUGAAACUGUUGUCAUAAUCCAUGCUAUAAACUUAUCCAUCACCGCUAAGUUUCCUCCCACCUUCUUAUUUGUUAGUAUUGUGAUAAGAACAAUUAACAGAAUCUAUCCAAAUCCCUAUUUUAUAAUAAUGAAAAUGUUAAAUCUCAGCCAUGAAGGCCCCAGUAUUAAAGAUUGGGUCAGAAUUAGGACCUCAAGUCUUUAAACCAUGCCCUUUUUAUGGAAGGGGAAGGGAUGUUGUAAUUAUUCUUUUAGUGUAUUAACAAUAUCACAAAAAAUUAUUUCUCCAAAGACCUGAAUCAGUGCAAAACUGAGCAUUGUAAUACUGAGUUGGAGGUGAUGAAAGGUCCUUACCUACAUUUCCAUAGUUAGUUCUGCUUCUAAAUGAAGCCUGGCUAGAGGAUGUGCUCUCUUUACGGGAUGUAUGCAACUUCAGUUCCAGGGAAUUUCCUUUUUAAAACUCCCAAUGUGUAACUUGGAUUUCAUCUAUUUACAUAUGAAUUUAAAAUAUCUUUACCUGGGUUGGAGUUGUAACUCGGUGGAGAGGGCUUACCUAGCACAAGUGAGACACUGGGUCUGAUUGAUAGAUAAAUAGAUAAAUAAAUAAACAAACAAACAAAUAAAUAAAUAAAGGUUGUGUGUCUGUCUACAACUAAAAUAAAAAAAU